rnacentral:tRNA from 1 species
GCCUAGUUAGCUUAGUUGGUAGUGCGUCUGCCUUGUAAGCGCUAGGCCGUGGGUUCAAAUCCCGCCCAGGGCG